ACGGGGGGUGCAAGCGUUGUUCGGAUUCACUGGGUAUAAAGGGUGCGCAGGCGGCCUGUUAAGUCAGAGGUGAAAUUUGUCGGCUCAACCGACAGACUGCCCCUGAAACUGACAGGCUUGAGUCCGGGAGAGGAAGGUGGAAUUCCAGGUGUAGCGGUGAAAUGCGUAAAUAUCUGGAGGAACACCGGUGGCGAAGGCGGCCUUCUGGCCCGGAACUGACGCUCAGGCACGAAAGCUAGGGGAGCGAACGGGAUUAGAUACCCCGGUAGUCCUAGCCGUAAACGAUGGGUACUAGGUGUUGGAGGAUUCUACCCCUUCAGUGCCGCAGCUAAUGCAUUAAGUACCCCACCUGGGGAGUACGAUCGCAAGGUUG
rnacentral:rRNA from 1 species